rnacentral:rRNA from 1 species
UACAGAGGUCCCGAGCGUUGUUCGGAUUCAUUGGGCGUAAAGGGUGCGUAGGUGGCGCCGUAAGUGGGGUGUGAAAUCCCGGGGCUUAACCCCGGGACUGCAUUCCAUACUGCGGUGCUUGAGGACUGGAGAGGAGACUGGAAUUUACGGUGUAGCAGUGAAAUGCGUAGAGAUCGUAAGGAAGACCAGUGGCGAAGGCGGGUCUCUGGACAGCUCCUGACACUGAGGCACGAAGGCCAGGGGAGCAAACGGG